rnacentral:rRNA from 1 species
GAUGAACGCUAGCGGCAGGCUUAAUACAUGCAAGUCGUGGGGCAGCAGGACUGUAGCAAUCCAGUUGCUGGCGACCGGCACACGGGUGCGGAACACGUACGCAACUUACCCUGAACUGGGGGAUAGCCCGGGGAAACCCGGCUUAAUACCCCGUAAUAUAAUGGGGUGGCAUCCCUUUAUUCUUAAAGCUCCGGCGGUUCGGGAUGGGCGUGCGGCUGAUUAGGUAGUUGGUUGAGGUAACGGCUCACCAAGCCUACGAUCAGUAACUGGUGUGAGAGCACGACCAGUCAGACGGGCACUGAGACACGGGCCCGACUCCUACGGGAGGCAGCAGUAAGGAAUAUUAGGCAAUGGAGGCAACUCUGACCCAGCCAUGCCGCGUGGAGGAGGAAGGCCCUCUGGGUUGUAAACUUCUUUUAUAGGGGACGAAACCUGUGUAUUCUUACGCAGUUGACGGUACCCUAGGAAUAAGCACCGGCUAACUCCGUG